UAUAUAUAUAUGUCACGCCCUGAAUUACACGCUUUUCGGGCACGCCGAUAAAUUCACAGUAUAUAAAAAAAAAUUUUCUGUAUACGAAGCGAUAGCUGUACGUGUAAAACAUACAAUACUACAAACAGUAGUAUAGAGCUGCCAAAAGAACCAGUAACUAAAAACAAACUGAGUUUUAUAUACAUACGUCAAAUCCAAGAAACAAAACUACUUGCACUGGCGAGUUAAAUGUCUGUAUGUACAUGAACUCCAACGAGAAACAACUACAUGCUGUAGCGGCACCUCUAGCUCGGCUCGUCUGGUAGGGCUCUAACUCGCGACGCCCUUGCCUCGAUCCUAAU
rnacentral:lncRNA from 1 species